rnacentral:rRNA from 1 species
AUACGGAGGAUCCGAGCGUUAUCCGGAUUUAUUGGGUUUAAAGGGUGCGCAGGCGGCCAUUUAAGUCAGCGGUUAAAUCGUGGGGCUCAACCCCAUUCUGCCGUUGAUACUGGGUGGCUUGAUUGCGGUCGAGGUUGGCGGAAUUUGUUGUGUAGCGGUGAAAUGCAUAGAUAUGACGAAGAACACCGAUUGCGUAGGCAGCUGACCAGAUCGCAAAUGACGCUCAUGCACGAAAGUGCGGGGAUCGAACAGGAUUAGAUACCCUGGUAGUCCGCACAGUAAACGAUGAAUACUUGUUUUCGGCGAUAUAAUGUCGGAGGCAAAGCGAAAGCGAUAAGUAUUCCACCUGGGGAGUACGCCGGCAACGGUGAAACUCAAAUGAAUUGACGGGG